rnacentral:rRNA from 1 species
AAUCAACGCUGGCGGCGUGCCUAACACAUGCAAGUCGAACGCGAAAGUCCCGCAAGGGAUGAGUAGAGUGGCAAACGGGUGAGUAACACGUGGGUGACCUGCCUUCGAGCGGGGGAUAACGUCCCGAAAGGGACGCUAAUACCGCGUAAUAUGCCGCCUUUUAACAGGUGGACAUCAAAGCUGGGGAUCGCAAGACCUAGCGCUUGAAGAGGGGCCCGCGUCUGAUUAGCUAGUUGGUGGGGAAUGGCUCACCAAGGCAACGAUCAGUAUCCGGCCUGAGAGGGCGGACGGACACACUGGGACUGAGACACGGCCCAUACUCCUACGGGAGGCAGCAGUGGGGAAUCUUGCGCAAUGGGCGAAAGCCUGACGCAGCGACGCCGCGUGAGGGAUGACGGCCU